CAAUUCGCGUUCUCCGCGGGCAUUCAGUGUCUCGCGAACUGUCGGACGAGGAGAAGUAGCUGUGUCGUUAUUAAGUUCUAUUCUAUUAUAAAUAAUGUACAUAGAUGGUGUAAUAGAAGAAAAUUAUUUGGUGGACAAUAAAUGUCCAUAUUCUGCUCUGCACUCGAGUAGUGCUGUAGAAGCAGUAGAAAAUAAACUAGUUUUACAUGGAGUGUUUACUUCCAGAGAUUGUAGAUCCACAGUUCCCAAAGAGAUUACUGAAAUCAGAUGUAAAAGAACAAAAAAAUAUAUAUAAAAUAAUUAAAAAUUUGUUUGAUCAAUUUUUGUUCUUUUUACCAUCGACUCUAUACCGACUAUUUGCAAGGCAAAACCACACUGCACUAAUAACUAACAGAUGACUGUAAAUUAAAGGUGAUUGUGUCAUGGAUAGGAACAAUGCAUUAAAAGAUAUAAACAAAUUUUUAUUCUUUUUUUUCGAUCGAAAAGAAUCGAUUUACAACUAGUAAAAAUUUAAAUAAUUAGUUCCCCAACAAUUUCAAUUAUAUCUAAUAUUUUAAACUUAACCAAGU